AUUGAACGCUGGCGGCAUGCUUUACACAUGCAAGUCGAACGGUAACAGGCCGCAAGGUGCUGACGAGUGGCGAACGGGUGAGUAAUGCAUCGGAACGUGCCCAGUCGUGGGGGAUAACGCAGCGAAAGCUGCGCUAAUACCGCAUACGAUCUAUGGAUGAAAGCGGGGGACCGUAAGGCCUCGCGCGAUUGGAGCGGCCGAUGUCAGAUUAGGUAGUUGGUGGGGUAAAGGCUCACCAAGCCAACGAUCUGUAGCUGGUCUGAGAGGACGACCAGCCACACUGGGACUGGGACACGGCCCAGAAUCCUACGGGAGGCAGCAUUGGGGAAUUUUGGACAAUGGGCGCAAGCCUGAUCCAGCAAUGCCGCGUGCAGGAAGAAGGCCUUCGGGUUGUAAACUGCUUUUGUACGGAACGAAACGGUCCUGGUUAAUACCCGGGGCUAAUGACGGUACCGUGAGAAUAAGCACCGGCUAACUACGUGCCAGCCGCCGCCGUAAUAC
rnacentral:rRNA from 1 species